rnacentral:rRNA from 1 species
CCUACGGGAGGCAGCAGUGAGGAAUAUUGGACAAUGGGCGCAAGCCUGAUCCAGCCAUGCCGCGUGCAGGAAGACGGUCCUAUGGAUUGUAAACUGCUUUUAUACAGGAAGAAACACUCCCUCGUGAGGGAGCUUGACGGUACUGUAAGAAUAAGGAUCGGCUAACUCCGUGCCAGCAGCCGCGGUAAUACGGAGGAUCCAAGCGUUAUCCGGAAUCAUUGGGUUUAAAGGGUCCGUAGGCGGUUUAAUAAGUCAGUGGUGAAAUCUGGUCGCUCAACGAUCAAACGGCCAUUGAUACUGUUAGACUUGAAUUAUAAGGAAGUAACUAGAAUAUGUAGUGUAGCGGUGAAAUGCUUAGAUAUUACAUGGAAUACCAAUUGCGAAGGCAGGUUACUACUUAUGGAUUGACGCUGAUGGACGAAAGCGUGGGGAGCGAACAGGAUUAGAUACCCUGGUAGUCCACGCCGUAAACGAUGGAUACUAGCUGUUCGGAGCAAUCUGAGUGGCUAAGCGAAAGUGAUAAGUAUCCCACCUGGGGAGUACGUUCGCAAGAAUGAAACUCAAAGGAAUUGACGG